rnacentral:rRNA from 1 species
CGGGAAACUGGGGAUAAUACCCCAUAGACUAUGGAUGCUGGAAUGCUUUGUAGUCGAAAGGUCCGCCGCCGUAGGAUGGGUCUGCGGCCGAUUAGGUUGUUGUUGGGGUAACGGCCCAACAAGCCUGUAAUCGGUACGGGUUGUGGGAGCAAGAGCCCGGAGAUGGAUUCUGAGACACGAAUCCAGGCUCUACGGGGCGCAGCAGGCGCGAAAACGUUACAAUGCGGGAAACCGUGAUAAGGGAACUCCGAGUGCCCGUUAGAUCGGGCUGUCCAACUGUUUAAAUAACAGGUGAAGAAAGGGCCGGGCAAGACCGGUGCCGGCCGCGCGGUAACA